CUAGUGUACAAAUCUUUAUGAUGUAACUGGCUUAUCUUCUAAAAUAACUUUUAAACAUGACUAUAUCCAUCAAUCUAGAAACCUUUGUAGUCCAAAUGUCGACCAUCUGUGGAUGCCAAUGGUAGUGACAUUGUAUUUAUUCCUAUUUUUAUGAUUUUUAUGAUGCACACUUAUACUUCCAUAUUUAUAUUUUUAUUUUUGGAUCAUUGCAAAGGUCACUAUAAUAAGACACUUUUCAUGCAUAUUUGCCCACCCCCAGUCAUUUUUCGUAUUUUUUUUAUUUAUUUACACUAAAUUUUUAUAUUUUGCUAUAUUGUACAGAAUGUCCUUAUUUGUAUAGAAUAUUUUUAUUUUUCCUAGUUAAAUGUAUUUAUAUUUAUUUCUUAUCUAAAAGCUCUUAUUUCUUGAGGUCAUGGGCGGUCGUAUAAAUAUCGUACUGUGUAUGUGACAAAUAAAAUUUGAAUUUGAUUUGAAUUUUUACAAGCACACGUGUGCAGUCAGACACUAUGGGCAAUUUGGAAAUGCCAGUUAGCCUAAUCUACAUGCCUUUGGACUGUGGGAGGAAACUUGUGUACCCAGAGGAAACCCACCAAGCACAGGGAGAACAUACAAACUCAAACCUGGAAAGGCCACAGUGCUAAUUGCUAUACCACAGUGCAUAUAUAUAAACACGUGUAUAUACAUACGUAUUAUGUGUGUAAAAUAAAUAAAUAAUAUACAGUACAUCUUUCUCUCUCUCUCUCUCACACACACACACACUUUCUUCACACUGGGCUGUAAACAGAUGCUCGGCCUGUUCGACGUUACUCGCGUCACUUCGUGUUUUUUCGUGCAUUUCCGCCGCGUCUCCUUCCUGUCCUGACGAGCGUCCCGUAUAAAGAAAGUUGGCAGCCAUUUCCCUUUAUUUAUCCUUUUCAGUCGUGUCAAAGCAUUGACCUGAGUAGGUGAGCGGAGUGUAGCGUGUAGUGUGGCAUCACGGAGCUGCUCAUUGUGUUGCAGUAGUGCAGUGCGCGAGGCGGAGCCGGCGGCCGAGUUGGGCCCGAGUCUUCGGCUGUGUUCGGCUACAGUCGGGCGCCGCUGUGCUGAAUGAGAUGGACGCAAGCGAGGCGGCGGUGAAACGGCUCGGGUUAGCCGCAGCGGAGGAGGAGAAGGCCGGGGGACUAGAGGAAGUAGAGGAGGAGGAGGAGGAGGACGAAGAGGAGGAGGAGGAGGAGGAGGAGGGGGAGCGCUCCGAAAGCGAGCCGGACGAAGCCGAAGUGAGCACGAUGCCUGGCAUGGCGGAAGCAGCCAACAUCGCCAUAGCCGAGUCCCUGCCGAACACUGACGAGGCCGAAGCGCCGUAUGCGGAGGUCACAACUGUUACAGUCGGAGAUGUCCAGACUACAGAUGACAACGUCUUCUCAACAUCCGUUGCCACGGCAGCUUCCAUCCCUGAACAUGUGCUUACCGGUAGAACCACUUUGCAAAUUGGGGACAGUCUAAGCACUCAGAAGGCAACUCUAAUUGUUGUGCACACGGAUGGGAGUAUAGUGGACGCCACCGGCUUAAAAGCCACAACGACACCCAUGACGCCAGGGUCUCAGACUCCCUCCACACCACUGACUCCGAGCCAUGAGAAAGAUUUGAACAAGUAUAACUGGGAUCCUUCUGUGUAUGACAACGAGCUGCCCGUGCGCUGCAGGAACACCAGUGGUGUCCUCUACAAGAACAGAUUAGGAUCAGGUGGCAAAGGACGGUGCAUUAAAUACAACAAUAGCUGGUACACACCAACCGAGUUUGAAGGGUUGGCUGGAAGAGCCAGCAGUAAGGACUGGAAGAGGAGCAUUCGUUAUGCUGGGAGACCCUUGCAAUGCCUUAUACAGGAGCACAUCCUUAACCCCCAUGCUGCCUCAUGUACAUGUGUGGCCUGCUGUGAUGAUCUAGCUGUGAACAAGGAUGGAUCAUUCGGAGGUGAAAGCAUAUCUAUGACUGGACCUGUGCGACUCUUUGUCCCUUACAAAAGGAGGAAGAAAGAAAGUGAGCGUCCAACAACUCCAGAGAAAAAGGACGCACCGCCAACCAAGAACCUUACUCUAGCACCUGGGGCAGCAUUCACAGUGACCCCAUCAGGUCAGCUCACCACUGCUGGCACCUUAACCUUUGAUCGAACGGCAACUGGAGACGCGACGACCCUCAUUUCCGACUGCCCUGCCACUUCAGAUGUCUUCAGCAGCACAGCAGUGCUGACCACAUUGCCGGCUCUGACUGUCAUCCCUCAGCAGCCGAUACUACAGGCUAAAGCUCCCGCUGCAGCUGGGGUGUCUAACGGCUUGGAGAUGAGCGAGCAGCGCACCUGGCUGUACCUAGAAGAGAUGGCCAACACGCUACACAACACCGUCCAGCAGCUCAAAGCAUUUAUCGCCCAGGCCAAACAGGCCAGUCUAACCAACCUGGAGAAAAGCAACUGCAGCGGGAAGGAUUCUUUUUCCAGUGAACUGUCGCUUACUGAUGACACAGAGGGGAAGAUUACUGAAAUUAUCAUCAAGGCAACAUACCUGUGUGAACUGUGGACGUGAGGCAUCUAACGAAUGCGCAGGCUGUCACAAAGUGUAUUACUGUUCUAACUUCUGCCAGAAAAAAGACUGGAAGGAUCACCAGCACAGUUGCUCUCAGCCCAGUGUAACUGUGGGAGUUCAUGAUGAGGCUCACAUAGCCAGCAUGGAGGUAGAGAAAGUAAAGGCCUAGCCCUGAUACAGAUGGACAUGUGCUGUCGCCUUGGAAUAAGCCCACCUUUACCUUCUGUAAGGUGGAAAUACACUAUACGGCCAAAAGUAUGUGGACCAUCAUGCUUAUAUGUGGUUCUUCCACAAACUGCUUCCACAAGUUUGUAAGCGCACAGCAGUGUGUGCGAUGUAUGCUUCCAGUUUUCCCUUCAUUGGAUCCAAAGGUCCAAACCUGUUCCAGCAGUGAAGACAUAGUUUGCCAAGGUUUGUGUGAAAGAAUGUGAGUAUCCUGCACAGAACCCAGACCUCAAUCCCUUUGAGAUGAACUGGAACACAUGUGUUUGUCAACAAACCUUUGUCAAUAUAAUGCAGCACACAUUUUUUCAAAGACCUGGCUGGAGAAGUAAAAUGCCAGAGACUGAAAUGAAACAUCUAUGCAAGACGAGUUAAAAAUGAUAGAGCUGGUCUUGUAGACCAUGGCACAUUUUCUGCAUUUCUGAUCAGUCUUUAAGGCAUGAUGUAACACACACACAACUGUGAUUAAAUAUAUUGAAGUAGUUAAUGAAGAGACAUGAUGAUGAUGAAUAUGUGACCUUGUUUAUAUCAUGCAUAUUUGAUAGCAUUUAAAUUAAAUGUAUAAUAUGUGAAA